UACAGAGGUCUCAAGCGUUGUUCGGAUUCAUUGGGCGUAAAGGGUGCGUAGGCGGCGCGGUAAGUCGGGUGUGAAAUCUCGGAGCUUAACUCCGAAACUGCAUUCGAUACUGCCGUGCUUGAGGACUGGAGAGGAGACUGGAAUUUACGGUGUAGCGGUGAAAUGCGUAGAUAUCGUAAGGAAGACCAGUGGCGAAGGCGGGUCUCUGGACCAACACUGACACUGAGGAGCGAAAGCCAGGGGAGCAAACGGG
rnacentral:rRNA from 1 species